rnacentral:rRNA from 1 species
UACGUAGGGGGCUAGCGUUGUCCGGAUUUAUUGGGCGUAAAGAGCGUGUAGGCGGCCAGGUAGGUCCGUUGUGAAAACUCGAGGCUCAACCUCGAGACGUCGGCGGAAACCCUCUGGCUAGAGUCCGGAAGAGGAGAGUGGAAUUCCUGGUGUAGCGGUGAAAUGCGCAGAUAUCAGGAAGAACACCCGUGGCUAAGGCGGCUCUCUAGUACGGUACUGACGCUGAGGCACGAAGGCCAGGGGAGCAAACGGG